GGUGAGAUUGAGGCGGUGAUGUAGGGGUGGGAUUGAGGUGGUGAUGUAGGGGUGGGAUUGAGGCGGUGAUAUAGGGGUGGAUUGUGGUAAGUUACAUUAGCCUGAGUAGAUAAUAGUAUCACUUUCCAUGUAUUGCUGGACAGGGGACGGUGCCAUGAUGGAGGUCGGAAUAAUUCUGUUGUUUUCAGCUUGUGUUUAUUGUGUCCAUGUUUAUGUUUUACACUGUAUUCAGGUUGGAGAGUUAUUUAUUAACCAAUGGAAAUGUAUGAAUUUGAUGGAAUGAUUAUUUAAUAAAAUGUACAUAGGAUGUGUCAACAUUAUUCUGUGUAUUGGAUUGUAUAUAAAUGACAUGAUUGUCUCUGUACUCCAAAACAGACUUCUCAAGUUUUGAAUUAUUAGAUUCUGUACUCCAUGACAGAUGAAGUCUGUGGAGGCUAAACCUGAUGAGAGACGUGUACGAGGGUUGAGUUUACCAGUUCUUUACAGAAACAGAGACUAGUUACAGUGUUGUCAUUAUGAAGUCUGUAUCUAGACGAGUGUCUGUUUCUACUUACAUGUGACCCCAGUGUCUAGACGAGUGUCUGUUUCUACCUACAUGUGAUCCCAGUAUCUAGACGAGUGUCUGUUUCUACUUACAUCUGACCCCAGUGUCUAGACGAGUGUCUGUUUCUCUCUACAUGUGACCCCAGUGUCUAGACGAGUGUCUGUUUCUCCUUACAUGUGACCCCAGCGUCUAGGCGAAAGUGUCUGUUUCUAAGCAUCUGACCCCAGUAUCUAGAAAGUGUCUGUUUCUACUUACAUCUGACCCCAGUGUCUAGACGAGUGUCUGUUUCUUCUUACAUGUGACCCCAGCGUCUAGACGAGUGUCUGUUUCUACUUACUUGUGACCCCAGCUGUGAUAGCUGCAACUACCUGUACUUAAUGACACUGGCCCUGGUUAGGAAGUUUACUGCACAGCCAAACAUUUCUCCCUUGUUUUACGGAUUAACCGACUCAGUGUGUUUUUCCUGUUUCUUACAUUCUGUUUAUUUAAACUGCAACAAUACGAAUGUAACGACAGGGAAAGGUCUUUAUUAAGUAUGUUAACUUGUGCCCAGUGUUUUAUUUUUGCAAUAUGAUAUGAUAAACCAAUCAACCAGUGCACAGUUGAAGCUGAACGUUCACAUACUUGUUCCACUAGUGAUGACACCCAGUUAAUCAACCAGUUCUAAUUCAUACUGAAAAAAACUUUGGGGGCAUUUGCCAUUUUUGAAAAGAUAUUUAUGAUGAUUUCUAAGUCAGUUUUUUUAAUAAAUUGUUCUGAAAUUU